UGGGGAAUUUUCCGCAAUGGGCGAAAGCCUGACGGAGCAAGACCGCGUGAGGGAGGAAGGCCCUAGGGUUGUAAACCUCUUUUCUCUGGGAAGAAGAAUGACGGUACCAGAGGAAUAAGCCUCGGCUAACUCCGUGCCAGCAGCCGCGGUAAUACGGAGGAGGCAAGCGUUAUCCGGAAUGAUUGGGCGUAAAGAGUUCGUAGGUGGUAAUGAAAGUUUGCCGUUAAAGACUAAGGCUUAACCUUAGGAGAGCGGUGAAAACUACAUAACUAGAGUAUGGAAGGGGCAGAGGGAAUUCUUGGUGUAGCGGUGAAAUGCGUAGAGAUCAAGAGGAACAUCGGUGGCGAAAGCGCUCUGCUAGGCCAAAACUGACACUGAGGAACGAAAGCUAGGGGAGCGAAAGGG
rnacentral:rRNA from 1 species